rnacentral:piRNA from 1 species
UAGGAUCAAAGGUUUGAUGCCACCACGC